rnacentral:misc_RNA from 1 species
CAGAGUCUACAACUCACCCAACCAUUGUGAACCCUACCUUACCGUUGCUUCGGCGGGAGGCGCCCUCAUGCCCCUACAAAUAGGUGGCUGUAGGGCGCCCCUUGGACCCCCUUGCGGGCGCCCGCCGGAGGAUUUCCCAAACCCAUUAGCAGUAUGUGGCCUAUCUAAGUCCUGUACCAAAUAAGUCA